UAAAAAGCUCGUAGUUGAAACUGUGUCCUGCGGCGUCGGUCCGCCUUUGCGGCGCGACAGACGCGUCUGCGGGGCUUCUCGCCGGUGUGUUUUUGACGGUACUUGUAUCGUCGGAUCCUCGCGGCUGUUUACUUUGAACAAAUUAGAGUGCUCAAAGCGGGCUGAUUUUCGCCUGAAUAUUGUGCGCAUGGAAUAAUGGAAUAGGACCUCGGUUCAAUUUUGUUGGCUUUCUGACACCAGAGGUAAUGAUUAAUAGGGACAACUGGGGGCAUUCGUAUUGCGACGUUAGAGGUGAAAUUCUUGGAUCGUCGCAAGACGGACUAAAGCGAAAGCAUUUGCCAAAGGUGUUUUCAUUAAUCAAGAACGAAAGUUAGAGGUUCGAAGGCGAUUAGAUACCGCUGUAGUUCUAACCAUAAAUGAUGCCAGCCAGCGAUCCGCCGAAGGUAUUUAUAUUGAUUCGGUGGGCAGCUCCCGGGAAACCAAAGCUUUCGGGCUCCGGGG
rnacentral:rRNA from 1 species